rnacentral:rRNA from 1 species
UACGUAGGGGGCAAGCGUUGUCCGGAUUUACUGGGCGUAAAGAGCGUGUAGGCGGCCAAGCAGGUCCGUUGUGAAAACUGGAGGCUUAACCUCCAGACGUCGACGGAAACCGCGUGGCUAGAGUCCGGAAGAGGUGGGUGGAAUUCCUAGUGUAGAGGUGAAAUUCGUAGAUAUUAGGAAGAACACCGGUGGCGAAGGCGGCCCACUGGUCCGGUACUGACGCUGAGGUGCGAAAGCGUGGGGAGCAAACAGG